UCAACUACAAGUCUACAAUCCAUAUAUCUCAAAAAUACAUUCCACUCAAAAUAUAAUGAAGAAAAUUACUACUAGUACACUCAAUUUUCUAGUAAUAUUUCUUAUUUUAUCAUGAUGCGUGAGAAACGAAUCGAGGAGCUUAAACUUCUCAUCUGUUAAUUUCGAAACAAAUAUGAAUUUAAACAAAGAGCCGUUGGUACCCCCGCCACCACAGCCCAUGAUAACGGAAUAAGGAAAAACCGGGGCAGUUUUGUAAAAGGUGCGGUAUUGAAUCAGAGCCUUUAGUUGGAAUUUAAAAUUUAUGAACUUUUGAUUUUAUUUUAAGAAUAUGAACUUAUUGAAUUCUAAAAAAAUUAAUUUAUGUAUAAAUAUAAAGUUUGAGUAACAUUAAUGAGUUCUUUCGAACUCACUUUCCUUGUAUUGGAUGGUAUAAGUGUACAAAUUCUUAUAUGUACUUAAAAUUUCUAUGUAA